AAUCCUAGUAUAAUUUAGAACCUUAAUAUCUAUCAAUUAAAUUAUCAGUCUUGCUUAAAAUUUUAUAUACUUUUCAAUAACUAAAUUAGAAACAAAUACACAAAAUUUGAAGAUAAUUGCAUUUAUUAAAUGGAAGAAAAAUCCUAAAAUCCGCUUAGAUAUUGGCUAGCCUCCUACUCCAAUCUAAAUGUUGAACUUUUAGUGCCAAUAUCUCUUUUUCAAAUUAUUCAAUUGUUUUCAAAUUUCACAUAUGUAGAGAAAAUUAAUUCCAUUACUAUUAUACAUAAAUU
rnacentral:lncRNA from 1 species